rnacentral:misc_RNA from 1 species
GCAGCCUCCGGCGAUGACCGGCGGCAGGCAGCAGCGGAGAAGGGGGCGACUCGCCUCGGCAAGUACGAGAUCGGCCGGACGCUGGGGGAAGGGAACUUCGGGAAGGUGAAGCACGCACGGCACGUCGAAACCGGGGAGGAAUUCGCUGUCAAAAUCCUCGACCGCGAGCGCAUCCUCAAGCUCAAGAUAGACGAUCAGAUAAAGAGAGAGAUUGGAACAUUAAAGAUUCUCAAACAUCCUAAUGUCGUCCGGUUGCACGAGGUUUUGGCGAGCAAGACUAAGAUAUACAUGGUCCUUGAGUAUGUGAACGGCGGCGAGCUAUUUGACAAAAUUGAAUUGAAGGGUAGGAUAGCAGAGUGUGAAGGGCGAAAACUUUUUCAGCAACUAAUUGAUGCCAUAAGUUAUUGCCAUGAAAAAGGUGUUUACCACAGAGACUUGAAGCCAGAGAAUGUUCU